CCUACGGGUGGCAGCAGUGGGGGAUAUUGCACAAUGGGGGAACCCUGAUGCAGCGACGCCGCGUGGGUGAAGAAGCGCCUCGGCGCGUAAAGCCCUGUCAGCAGGGAAGAAAAUGACGGUACCUGAAGAAGAAGCCCCGGCUAACUACGUGCCAGCAGCCGCGGACAUACGUAGGGGGCAAGCGUUAUCCGGAUUUACUGGGUGUAAAGGGGGCGCAGACGGGGAUGCAAGCCAGGAGUGAAAGCCCGGGGCCCAACCCCGGGACUGUACUUGGAACUGGGUGGCUGGAGUGCAGGAGGGGCAGGCGGAAUUCCUGGUGUAGCGGUGAAAUGCGGAGAUAUCAGGAGGAACACCGGUGGCGAAGGCAGCCUACUGGACUGCAACUGACGUUGAGGCCCGAAAGCGUGGGGAGCAAACAGGAUUAGAUACCCGAGUAGUC
rnacentral:rRNA from 1 species